rnacentral:rRNA from 1 species
AGUGAACGCUGGCGGUAGGCCUAACACAUGCAAGUCGAACGGCAGCACAGUAAGAGCUUGCUCUUACGGGUGGCGAGUGGCGGACGGGUGAGGAAUACAUCGGAAUCUACUUUUUCGUGGGGGAUAACGUAGGGAAACUUACGCUAAUACCGCAUACGACCUACGGGUGAAAGCAUGGGAUCUUCGGACCUUGCGCGAUUGAAUGAGCCGAUGUCGGAUUAGCUAGUUGGCGGGGUAAAGGCCCACCAAGGCGACGAUCCUUAGCUGGUCUGAGAGGAUGAUCAGCCACACUGGAACUGAGACACGGUCCAGACUCCUACGGGAGGCAGCAGUGGGGAAUAUUGGACAAUGGGCGCAAGCCUGAUCCAGCCAUACCGCGUGGGUGAAGAAGGCCUUCGGGUUGUAAAGCCCUUUUGUUGGGAAAGAAAAGCAGCAGGUUAAUACCCCGCUGUUCUGACGGUACCCAAAGAAUAAGCACCGGCUAACUUCGUG